GCACUUGGGACCUGAUCCAAAGUGCACUGAAGUCAAUGUCAGUCUUUCCAUGGACUUCAAUAGACUUUGGAUCGGGUCUUUGGC
rnacentral:pre_miRNA from 1 species